rnacentral:rRNA from 1 species
GCCCCUACGCUCUGGGACAACUCCGGAAACCGGGGCUAAUACCGGAUACGACCUCGGAAGACAUCUUCUGCGGUGGAAAGUUUUUCGGCUAGGGAUGGGCCCGCGGCCUAUCAGCUUGUUGGUGAGGUAACGGCCCACCAAGGCGACGACGGGUAGCCGGCCUGAGAGGGCGACCGGCCACACUGGGACUGAGACACGGCCCAG